rnacentral:rRNA from 1 species
UACGAAGGGGGCAAGCGUUGUUCGGAAUUACUGGGCGUAAAGGGCACGUAGGCGGCUUAUCAAGUCAGGCGUGAAAUUCCCGGGCUCAACCUUGGAGCUGCGGUUGAUACUGAUGAGCUUGAAUGCGGGAGAGGAUAGUGGAAUUCCCAGUGUAGAGGUGAAAUUCGUAGAUAUUGGGAAGAACACCAGUGGCGAAGGCGGCUAUCUGGCCCGUAAUUGACGCUGAGGCGCGAAAGCAUGGGGAGCGAACGGG